CGACUGCCGCCUCCUGACGCCACCUCCUGAGCGGCUGUCGGGGGCCCGCCCAGCUGUUGACAAAGGCCGCACUGUAGAACCCGGGUUUGGUGAAGGGUUGGAUUCCAAGCCACCACUUGUUAGGCCUCCCACUGGUCAUAGCUACACAAAGUGUAAUCAUAAGAAAACAUCAGAGAAACCCCAGUUGAAGGAUAUUAUGCACAGUACCUGACCAGUACUCCUCAAAAUUGAUUGUGGUUAUCAAGAACAAGGAAAGUCUUAGAAACUGUCAAGCCAAGAGAAGCCUAUGGAAACAUUACAACUAACUGUAAUAUGAUAUCUUGGAUGGGAUCCUGGAAAAGAAGAAAAGAUAUUAGGUCUCUAGACUUUUGUUGAGUGAAGAACAAUUUACUAUGAGGUGACCUACAAAAACAACACUCAGAAUUCUCUCAAAUCACAUUGGUCAGUGCAAUCAGCUCUCAGAUAUUUGCUUGAGAAGCAGCCACAGGAGGCCAGCAAGAGGCAGAGAAGCUGGGGCCUUCCAAGGGGCCAGAAAGGAAGCAGGAGGAUCUUGGGUCAUGAUGUGGGACCUGAUGACACACAGUGGAACAGCAUCCAGAAGAGCUGCUGAGGUCAAAAAGGGGAAUCAAAAUGUUUCUUUAUUUUGAGAGAGAGAAUGCAAGCGAGGGAGGAGCAGAGAGAGAGGGGAAGAGAGAGAAUCCCAAGCAGGCUCCAUACUGUCAGCGCAGAGCCCAACUUGGGCCUUGAACUCAUCAACCAGGAGAUCACAACCUGAGCCAAAAUCAGGAAUCGGAUGCUCAACCAACUGAGCCA